UAUUUACAAUAGCCAAGACAUGGAAGCAACCUAGAUAUCCACUGGCAGAGGAAUGGAUAAAGAUGUGGUACAUAUAUACAAUGGAAUAUUACUCAGCCAUAAAAAGAAUAAAAUAAUGCCAUUUGCAGCAACAUGGAUGGACCUAGAGAUUAUCAUACUAAGUGAAGUAGGCCAGACAGAUAAAGACAAAUAUCAUAUAAUAUCGCUUAUAUGUGGAAUCUAAAAAAAAAAAAAAAAAAACAUAGAUACAAAUGAACCUAUUUACAAAACAGAAACAGACUCACAGACUUAGGAAACAAACUUAUAGUUACCAAAGGGGAAAAGUGUGUGUGUGGGGAUACAUUAGGAGUUUGGUAUUAACAGAUACACACUACUAUAUAUAAAACAGAUAAUCAACAAGGACCUACUGUAUAGCACAGGGAACUCUACUCAAUAUUCUGUAAUAACCUAAAUGGAAAAAUAAUCUGAAAAAGGAUAUAUGUAUAACUGAAUCACUUUGCUGUACACCUGAAACUAACACAACAUUCUAAAUCAACUAUACUCCAAUAUAAAAUAAUUUUUUAAAAAUAUUUGGAACAAUACACAGCCAAAAAGAAAAAGAGAGAGAGAAAGAAAGAAAAGGGACAAAUGUAGGGUAAGGAACUGGCCUCUUCCGUGCUUCCAUUGAAGUACCCUCUGUUACUUUCAUGGGUAGCCCAUUAGCCAGAACUAGUCAUGAGGACCUACCUACAUGCAAUAUAGGUCUGUUUAUAUACGUGUUAACUUGCCCCGCUUCCUUCUUAGUGUAUAUGUUUAAGUUUCUGAUCACAUAGCUCUAUUUACAAUUUUGCAUUUCAAAUGUGGGGCAGCAAAUGGAAUUUUCGCUGAGCACCACCGUCCCUGUUGCAGCAAAGGAUGAAGAUGUCAAGGGUUAGCUUCGGAUGUAGGAAAGCAAAAAAUAUAUAUAAAGAGAUUGAUUAGAAGCAAGACACUGUCCAGAAAAUAUGUGCAACAGCACAAGUGGGAGAUGAGAAGAAACCGAACUAGAAAUGGAGCAUAAGAAAAAUGAGAACGGUGCCUAUUCUUACCAUUAGAAAGUCUAUUCAACAACGCACUGAAAUUAGGAAGUUUGCUAAAUAAGCAGUACUCUAGUACAUCCUGACUUAUAUUUUUUUUUAAUGCAGAUCUCUAGAGAUACAGAUUUUUAUCCCGUGAAGCAAAUGCCCAUUUUCUGAAAUGACUGAAUGUCAAAACAGAACAUUUCAUAUUAAUGGCAUGAAGUGAGAGCACUGAAUGACUUCAUGCCAUUAAUAUGAAAUGAAAGUCAGAAUUGAAAGUUUGAGAAUCUAGCCUCUAAGAAAAACAGUGCAGCGUUUGUAAUAUAUAAAAGCUUUUUGCUCUGUGGGAAACAGUUACUAGCGAGGGCAGUCUGAAAACAUACUGUUUGGAGAUUUGGGAGUCGCAGUCCUUGAAGGGAAGAUUUACUCUGGUCAAUUUUACAAUUUAUGCAUUUUUGGUGGUUGUGAUGUAUGAGUCACAAGGGUAAUAAACUUCUAAUAGGUUGAAGUAAAGUUAAGCAUUUCCCAGCAUUUCUAUUAAUUAUCUGUGAAAGAGAAAAAAGAAAAUUAAUGCAGAGACAUAAGCUGGUCUUUGAACAAAGAGGGAUAUGUUUUAUUAUGAUGGUUUUGGCUACAGUCCUUUUCAAAAUGGGCAAAGGACCAAGAAAUAUUUAAGCAGAUUAAAAUUAUAAAUAGAGCAAUGUGAUCAGUAACUUAAAUGUUAUAUACACUAAGAAGGAAGGGUAGCAAGUUAAAAUGUAAAUAAACAGAGCCAGAAUAAGAUCCAGAAAACGUCUAGCUAACCGUAAGUACUGAAAAGGCUUCUCUAAAUAGGAGAAUUUAUAUUCUGUUAACAGCUAGAAAAUGCAUUUGUUUCACAAUUUUUUCAAAAGAAAUACAAGUCCCAGUAAUUUAAAAAGUAUUCUUAAUUUCCAUAUGCUUACGUACAGAAAAACAAAACUAGAGCUUAGAAAAUAAUCAUUGUGUAUUCACUGUAGCAUUCUUUGAAACAAUGAAACAUAGCAAUAGUUGAAAUGUAUAUUAACUGGAAAUGGAUAAAUAUUAUAUAACAUAUCCGUAUGAUAGAAUAUUUGGCAUCAGUUAAAUAAAAUCAAUAGAUCUAUCUAUUACCAAAUAUCAACAUGCACUAGAGGUAUCAGUAGAAGUGAAGAGACCUCAUUUCACUCAAGCAGAUCAUAGUAUAGGAAAUAGAAAAUUAAGUUUAUGGCUACAGUAUGGCAUCAGUCAUAGAAGUACGUCAGGGAUGUGUGGUGGUAGCACAUGAGAGCAUGAGGACAAGACACAGGAAAGAUAAUUAUAGGGAUAUAGUGAGUUGAGUCUUGAAAUGUGAAUAUGGGUGUAUUGAACACCUCUUGUAUAAAACUUUAUAUGCUCUCUUUUUCCAGCCCCUGCUGGGUGACAAGCCUAUCCCAGGUAAAAUCGGAGAGCACCUUGCUCAGGCCUCCGCUACAAAAUUUUUUUUCCUGCCCUUUGUUUAUCAGCAACCCCAGCACCUUCUCUGACUCCUUCAGGUGUGUUGCUGCCAUAAAUCUGCAUGGCACUCCCACACGAGCCACUCAAAAGGACCGUAAGUAAUGCACGUGGGCCAUACUUGACUAAUGGAAGCUGGGAGACAACUGAUAAAUGCUUCUCCUUUCUGUCUGUUAUGAGAACAGACACAGAUGAGCAAAGGAGAAAAAACAGUACAUCCAAAGAGCUGCAAAUCAUUCACUUUUCUUGAAUCUAGAAUACGAUAAAAGUGUGAUAAGAGACUCAUUCAAGUGCCUGAUCAUGAAGAGCCUUGUGUAGCAUACAACAAAACUAGGAGUCUAUCUCAUCAGCAUGGGAUUACUACUGAAUGGUUGAAAUCUGUGUGACAAUAUGAAAUGUCAAUUUUUUUAAAUUCUUUUAGUUAUGUGGAGGUGAAUUUGAAAGUAACAUCACCAAAGAUAAGAGACAAGUUAGAUACAAUUCUUGAUCCAGAAAUGAAAUCAUUAAAACGUAAAAAAAAAACCCUCAAAUCUACAGCUAUUAUUGGAUCCAAAAAAAACAAAAAAGACAGUUCUUAGUACUUAUGACAUUAAGGAUAAAGGAAAAAUUUAUCGCUGCUGUUUUUGUUUCCUGAAAGAUGCCAUAAACUCAUCUGGGAAGAUCCACUUUCGUUAGGAGAUACAAACACAUUUACACAUACAUACACACAUACAUUUGCAAGUUUGAGUUAGAGGUAACCAUGGCUACUCUGGUUAAGAUUGCAAGUAGGCUGACACAAAUAACAUGGAGUUGGACUGCAGAAGAGAAGUCUGCUUUGGAAAUAUGAGUUAAAGCAUUUUUGUUGUGUUUCACUAUCAACAGGCAGUUUGACUAGAUGGAAUUGACUCCUGCAAAGAAUAUGUAAAGGGAGAAGAGGAGCCUGACAUGGGGAAAAAGAUGGAGAUUUCCUACUAGGAAACACACAGAAAUGCAAACACCGAGAUGAAAGAAGGUGAUAACUAUUGAAGAAACAAGAAGACCAUGUGAAGGUGACUCUGGGACCUAGACAGAGGAAGUACAGGAGGAAGGUGAUACUUUUUCUACCUCGCAGGUUGACUGGGGACAGCAGGCAGAACACAAUGAGGAGAAGCACCAAUCUGACCCGAGUGGGAAGAUGUUGCAGGGAGGAAGCAAGAGGAGAAAUUCCUGG